GGGGAUUUGGCUCAGUGGUAGAGUGCUUGCCUAGCAAGCGCAAGGUCCUGGGUUCAGUCCCCA
rfam:Rattus norvegicus chromosome 1, whole genome shotgun sequence.